rnacentral:lncRNA from 1 species
GACAAUAUCUCUGGUACUUAGACCUCAUAAGCUCUUAUGAGAAUCCAAUGAAAUAAUGUAAAUGAAAUCUUUUCAAACUGUAAAAGGGUAUCAUUGUAGUUAAAUAAUAUUGAGUAAGAGUCUGAUAAAGCUAUCAGGGGUUACUAAAUGUUGAUAGGAGGUUGAUGAAAGUUGCUGAGAUCAGUUUGGUAAACCAGCACCACUGUUUAUUACAGAGGAGAAGGUUGGAUAGGAGUAGGAGGAAGGCAAUAGGAGAUUAUAACUCUUAAUUUCUUAUAUUAUAUCUAAAUCCAAACCCUAAUCUAAAAUCUCUAAGAAUUUUCUUGCCUGACAAAACAGGCCUAACUAAACUACACUCAGCAACUAAUAUUAAAUUCACUAUCUUUCUACCUAGUUAAUAAAAUAAGACUAUCUCCUCCAAUCUCCUUAAACGGUAUCUGAAUUCAAACUGGUACUCUCUCCACGACUAGCUCUCCAUUGCAUGUAGUUUGGACAUUAUGGAUGAAGCAGAGAUGAUCUCAUGGGACACUCACUAUGGCUUCAUGGGAUGGACCAAGAUUUCUCUCAUUUGGUAAAAAUCCACCUCUCCUGUGAUGAAGUAAUGAGGCCCCGUAGGAAGGGAAAUUACAAGAAGCAAGAGAAUGAUUGACCAGGCUUGAGACUCAGAAUCCUCCUGAGCCUGGUUGAGUCAGAACUCCUAGGAACCACUCUGGAGCUGCAAGCAAGGUGAAGGAGAAAGGUGUGUGGCUGAGACUUCCUGGAAAUCCAUCCAUCCAACAACUGGCCUUGAGGAUUUACUGGCUGUACUGAGAGAAUAUCUCCAAUCUUCCUGGUGGACAGUGUGACUGGGAAAAGAUCUCUACCUUGCUGGGACAUCUGAGGACAUCAGCUGGACUCCUGUACCUGACUCGCCAAGGACCCUUUGUUUGUGACAUUCUGGUUACCUGUUGGACUUGCCCUUAGGAAUUUAUGUAAUCAGUUAAGGUGGUUAAACAGUGGCUUUAAUUAGAGGGUAAAGCAGUCAGAUUUCCCUUCUCCCAUUUUCCUUCCUCCCUUCUUAAUAUUAUUUAUAUGUGCUGUUUUCCCUUUGUAUUACCUUCCUUCCCCCUUUCCAAAAUAUAGAUUUAACAGAAGGAAUUGAGUUCUCUAAGUCCAUUUCUUCUUUCAAAAUAUCCACCAAUGGGGACUUCCAUGGGAACAAACUAUCAGACCAAUUAGAAAGAGAACACACCUUCAAAUAAGAGAGAGUUGGG